GGGCAUCCACAUUUCUUGAACGCACUUUGGGUUCCAUUAUCAAUAUUCUUGUGUUUCCCACCUUUAUCACAACCAAAUAUUAAUUUGUUACUUCUCCCUCUCUUGCAUGUUUCAGUAUCUGAACGAGUGAUAAUAACCGUUACUUCAUUAUCGAUUCCAACCUCUUUAAUCCAUCUGAUCACCUCUUCUCGUGUACCAAAUCUUUCAGUCGUUAUAAACGCAUCAGAAGUAUCUACACAUAUUUGGGGAAGAUUUUCCAUUCCUGCACAAUAAAUUUAAUCCAUCUGAUCACCUCUUCUCGUGUACCAAAUCUUUCAGUCGUUAUAAACGCAUCAGAAGUAUCUACACAUAUUUGGGGAAGAUUUUC
rnacentral:lncRNA from 1 species